rnacentral:lncRNA from 1 species
ACAUGUAAACAUGUCUCCCCUCCCAGUGGGUACCGCAAGCCGAUGAAGGCGAGGAGUACUCACCGGAUCAGGAAGAGCUAAACAACAGUACGGGUCAGUAGAAAUACAGUAGCAAUAAUAAUGAAUGAAAGAGACAUAUAUAUGAAAGAAGUACAACUACCGCUACUGUAAUGGACAACUGAAUGUAUACAUGUAACAAGAUUAUAGUAGCAAGACAAUGUAAUGAACAGUAGCAAUAAUAAUAAAUGAAAGAGACAUAUAUAUGAAAGAAGUACAACUACCGCUACUGUAAUGGACAACUGAAUGUAUACAUGUAACAAGACUAUAGUAGCAAGACAAUGUAAUGAAAGAACUGAAGGUAUACAAGCAACAACCGCUACUAUAGUUAUAUGCGUCAACCGGACAAGAAGUCCAAAUAUACCCAAUCUGGUACCUGCUAUAUUGGUCCGCAGACCUCAAGCGCUGCC